rnacentral:lncRNA from 1 species
AAAGACAACCAUAGAAAAUAUAACGAAGAGUCCAAGUUCAUCAUGUCCAAGCACAAAACCUGGAACUUGUGCCUUCUCUUUCCAAGCUUCAAGACCAAACAUCUGAUGGGAAGGAAACAUGCCAACUUUCAAUCGAUACAGAGAAAGUCCAAGGGCUGCUUUAACAUUAAAUACCUCACACAUUGGAAACUAAUUGGGGAUGUCACUAACAUCAUGCCCGAGAUAUUUUCUGUCCAAAUCGAUAUGGACUAAUAUGGUCACGCCCAAAUCUGCCCGAGA